rnacentral:rRNA from 1 species
GACGAACGCUGGCGGCGUGCUUAACACAUGCAAGUCGAACGGAAAGGCCUCUUUCGGGGGGUACUCAAGUGGCGAACGGGAGAGUAACACGUGAGUAACCUGCCCUUGACUUUGGGAUAACUUCAGGAAACUGGGGCUAAUACCGGAUAGGAGCUCCUGCUGCAUGGUGGGGGUUGGACAGGUUCGGCGGUUGGGGAUGGACUCGCGGCUUAUCAGCUUGUUGGUGGGGUAGUGGCUUACCAAGGCUUUGACGGGUAGCCGGCCUGAGAGGGUGACCGGCCACAUUGGCACCGAGAUACGGCCUAGACUCCUACGGGAGGGAGCAGUGGGGAAUAUUGAACAAUGGGUGGAAGCCUCAUGCAGCAUCGCCGUGUGCGGGAUGACGGCCUUCGGGUUGUAAGCCGUCUUCGGUCAUGACGAAGCUUUGUGUGACGGUAGUGGGUAAAGAAGCACCGGCUAACUACGUG